rnacentral:rRNA from 1 species
UACGUAGGUGGCGAGCGUUGUCCAGAUUUACUGGGCGUAAAGAGCGCGCAGGCGGUCGUGCAAGUCGCGUGUGAAAGCCCCCGGCUCAACUGGGGAGGGUCACGCGAUACUGCUCGACUCGAAGGCAGGAGAGGGAAGUGGAAUUCCCGGUGUAGUGGUGAAAUGCGUAGAUAUCGGGAGGAACACCAGUGGCGAAGGCGACUUCCUGGCCUGUUCUUGACGCUGAGGCGCGAAAGCUAGGGUAGCAAACGGG